UACGGAGGGUGCAAACGUUGCUCGGAAUUACUGGGCGUAAAGCGCACGUAGGCGGCUUUGUAAGUUAGAGGUGAAAGCCCGGAGCUCAACUCCGGAACUGCCUUUAAGACUGCAUCGCUUGAACGUCGGAGAGGUAAGUGGAAUUCCGAGUGUAGAGGUGAAAUUCGUAGAUAUUCGGAAGAACACCAGUGGCGAAGGCGACUUACUGGACGACUGUUGACGCUGAGGUGCGAAAGCGUGGGGAGCAAACAGG
rnacentral:rRNA from 1 species